UACGGGGGGGGCAAGCGUUGUUCGGAAUUACUGGGCGUAAAGGGCUCGUAGGCGGCCAACUAAGUCAGACGUGAGAUCCCUCGGCUUAACCGGGGAACUGCGUCUGAUACUGGAUGGCUUGAGUUUGGGAGAGGGAUGCGGAAUUCCAGGUGUAGCGGUGAAAUGCGUAGAUAUCUGGAGGAACACCGGUGGCGAAGGCGGGUCUCUGGGCCGAUACUGACGCUGAGGAGCGAAAGCGUGGGGAGCGAACAGG
rnacentral:rRNA from 1 species